AUUGAACGCUGGCGGCAGGCCUAACACAUGCAAGUCGAACGGUAGCACAGAGAGCUUGCCCUCGGGUGACGAGUGGCGGACGGGUGAGUAAUGUCUGGGAAACUGCCCGAUGGAGGGGGAUAACUACUGGAAACGGUAGCUAGUACCGCAUAACGUCUUCGGACCAAAGUGGGGGACCUUCGGGCCUCACACCAUCGGAUGUGCCCAGAUGGGAUUAGCUAGUAGGUGGGGUAAUGGCUCACCUAGGCGACGAUCCCUAGCUGGUCUGAGAGGAUGACCAGCCACACUGGAACUGAGACACGGUCCAGACUCCUACGGGAGGCAGCAGUGGGGAAUAUUGCACAAUGGGCGCAAGCCUGAUGCAGCCAUGCCGCGUGUAUGAAGAAGGCCUUCGGGUUGUAAAGUACUUUCAGCGGGGAGGAAGGCGUUAAGGUUAAUAACCUUGGCGAUUGACGUUACCCGCAGAAGAAGCACCGGCUAACUCCGUGCCAGCCGCCGCGGUAA
rnacentral:rRNA from 1 species